GAUGAACGCUGGCGGCGUGCCUAAUACAUGCAAGUCGAGCGAACAGACGAGGAGCUUGCUCCUCUGACGUUAGCGGCGGACGGGUGAGUAACACGUGGAUAACCUACCUAUAGGACUGGGAUAACUUCGGGAAACCGGAGCUAAUACCGGAUAAUAUAUUGAACCGCAUGGUUCAAUAGUGAAAGACGGUUUUGCUGUCACUUAUAGAUGGAUCCGCGCCGCAUUAGCUAGUUGGUAAGGUAACGGCUUACCAAGGCAACGAUGCGUAGCCGACCCGAGAGGGUGAUCGGCCACACUGGAACUGAGACACGGUCCAGACUCCUACGGGAGGCAGCAGUAGGGAAUCUUCCGCAAUGGGCGAAAGCCUGACGGAGCAACGCCGCGUGAGUGAUGAAGGUCUUCGGAUCGUAAAACUCUGUUAUUAGGGAAGAACAAAUGUGUAAGUAACUAUGCACGUCUUGACGGUACCUAAUCAGAAAGCCACGGCUAACUACGUG
rnacentral:rRNA from 1 species